rnacentral:rRNA from 1 species
UCCCCUAGUAACUGCGAGUGAAGCGGGAAAAGCUCAAAUUUGAAAUCUGGCAGUUUUUGACUGUCCGAGUUGUAAUCUAGAGAAGUGUUACCUGUGCAGGACCAUGUACAAGUCUCCUGGAAUGGAGCAUCAUAGAGGGUGAGAAUCCCGUCUUUGACAUGGACUACCUGUAUAAUAUGGUGUGCUCUCGAAGAGUCGAGUUGUUUGGGAAUGCAGCUCAAAAUGGGUGGUAAAUGCCAUCUAAAGCUAAAUAUUGGCGAGAGACCGAUAGCGAACAAGUACCGUGAGGGAAAGAUGAAAAGAACUUUGGAAAGAGAGUUAAACAGUACGUGAAAUUGCUGAAAGGGAAACGCUUGAAGUCAGUCACAUUGACUAGAAAUCAGCCUUUGCUUUUGCUUGGUGUACUUUCUUGUUGAUGGGUCAGCAUCAAUUUUGAUCAUUGGAUAAGGUCUUUGGGAAUGUGGCAUCCUUGGAUGUGUUAUAGCCCAUUGUCACAUACAAUGAUUGAGAUUGAGGAACUCAGCACGCCGCAAGGCCGGGUCAUUGACCACGUUCGUGCUUAGGAUGCUGGCAUAAUGGCUUUAAUCGACCCGUCUUGAAACACGGACCAAGGAGUCUAACAUGCCUGCGAGUGUUUGGGUGGAAAACCCAUGCGCGUAAUGAAAGUGAAAGUUGAGAACCCUCUUUACAAGGGGGAGCAUUGACGC